rnacentral:rRNA from 1 species
GAUGAACGCUGGCGGCGUGCCUAAUACAUGCAAGUCGAGCGAACAGAUGAGGAGCUUGCUCCUCUGACGUUAGCGGCGGACGGGUGAGUAACACGUGGAUAACCUACCUAUAAGACUGGGAUAACUUCGGGAACCCGGAGCUAAUACCGGAUAAUAUAUUGAACCGCAUGGUUCAAUAGUGAAAGACGGUUUUGCUGUCACUUAUAGAUGGAUCCGCGCCGCAUUAGCUAGUUGGUAAGGUAACGGCUUACCAAGGCAACGAUGCGUAGCCGACCUGAGAGGGUGAUCGGCCACACUGGAACUGAGACACGGUCCAGACUCCUACGGGAGGCAGCAGUAGGGAAUCUUCCGCAAUAGGCGAAAGCCUGACGGAGCAACGCCGCGUGAGUGAUGAAGGUCUUCGGAUCGUAAAACUCUGUUAUUAGGGAAGAACAAAUGUGUAAGUAACUAUGCACGUCUUGACGGUACCUAAUCAGAAAGCCACGGCUAACUACGUG